rnacentral:misc_RNA from 1 species
AAGUCGUAACAAGGUUUCCGUAGGUGAACCUGCGGAAGGAUCAUUAACACGUAUCCACGUAUCAACCAACCGCGAACUUGUUUCCCCCUCCCUUUGGUGCACAUGAGCUGGAAGUCUAAUCGGUAGUGAGUGGGACUCCUACCUUCGGGGUGGAGUCAGCCGAGAAGAAUCAUUAUUUGCGACAAUACUUUGUAGUGGCGCAGAUGACAGCUGCAGUGUCUCCGGAGGUUCAACCCUUCUGCUCGUCAGGUCUCCAUUCAUGAUCCGGCGAGUGGGAAUCAUAUUAACCUAUUUAACCCCCCUUUUUGCUAGUUGACUUUUUUAUGUUGUGGUCAGCACGAUUCAUUUCGCGUUGGUCUCACACGUUUAAUUAUUUGAACGUUAAAGAAACAACUCUUAGCAAUGGAUAUCUUGGUUCUC